CUCCACUCACAGGAAGCCAUGGCAAAGGAGAACGAGAAGGAAGGUCUGCAAGCAAAUGACAUGUUGCUCCAAGGCACCAAUGGAAAGGGCUUGAACGCAGAAGACGUGGGGAGAAUAAGCUCAAGCAGGAGUCUUCCCUGUGGACUCCUGUUGGAGAAAAAGAGGUGACAAGCGAACCUUUGGCUCUGCUGCUUCUCUUGCCUAUGAAAGCGUUUCUGCUAAAGCGCUGCUUCAGGAGUGGGGUGCUCCGCUGGUGUCUAUGGGAUGUGGACGUUCGGAGCGAGACUUGUAGAUGGAGGAGCAGGUGCAUGAGAUAGAGACGAGGCAUCUGAAGGACCUCUGCACACUUGCAUUAAGCCCUGGCCAGCGUGGCACUGUGCGUCCCAGCCCGGCCUCUGCAUCCUGAUGGCUGUUGUCACACUCACUCAAACUAUCUGGAAAAAUAAACUUUAUUGACUUCAUUUUCACCUUGAAUGGAAACGUGUAAGUCUGCAUCUUGCAACAGAAAUGCUUUCAGAGGACACCCCCCUUCUCAA